rnacentral:pre_miRNA from 1 species
CUUGUACUCUCUCUGUCCGGAAAUACUUGUCGGAUAAAUGAAUGUAUCUAGACGUAUUUUAAUUCUAGAUACAUCUAUUUUUAUGCAUUUCUUCGACAAGUAUUUCCGGACGGAGGGAGUAUUUA